rnacentral:rRNA from 1 species
GUCAGAUGUGAAAGCCCGGGGCUUAACCUCGGAAUUGCAUUUGAAACUGGCAGGCUAGAGUCUUGUAGAGGGGGUAGAAUUUCAGGUGUAGCGGUGAAAUGACGUAGUAGAUCUGAAGGAAUACCAGUGGCGAAGGCGGCCCCCUGGACAAAGACUGACGCUCAGAUGCGAAAGCGUGGGGAGCAAACAGGAUUAGAUACCCCUGGUAG